AACUAUCUAACGAAUAAUUUUAUUUGGCUGUUUAUCGGCCUGGUAGUUGUUUAACCAUUUUUCAAUUGUGAUUUAUUCCAUAGAUAACUAUCUUACCGAUUUUUCUAUUUGAACUCAGGAGAGAUGAAACAAGUCUAUGCGCAGACACUAGUGCUAAAGCAGGACAGACUACUAUUUCAAUUGUCAGUGUCAACUAUCACUGUCAAGCAAAGAGCAAUCAACAAGCCUCACUGACUGUUUGGUUUGGUUGUUUUGAUUUUGGUAUUUAAAUUUGUUAUUCUUGAAUCACAAUGGUUUCACAAAAAAGAGAGCGUUUAGCGAAUUUUAAUAAUGCUGAAGUUACUGUGUAGUGAGUUUGAUAGAUAAAUUCAAACAUGUCAUAGAAAAUAAAAAGACCGAUGCUGCAACAAAUAAAGAUAAGGAGACUGCAUGGAAGAAAAUUGAGUUUUCUUUUAACUCCACUGGUAUAACCACAAGUGUCCGCUCAUGGAAAACCCUUAAGUUAAAGUACGAGGGCAUCAAAUAAACAAUGAAGAAGAAGUCUUCCCUGCAAAGGCAAGAGAUGUACAAAACUGGAGGUGGGCCCUCAAAUGCACCUCCAUUUAUCGAUGUAGAAGAAAAGGUGUUAGGCAUUUGCUCCAGCAUUACCAUUCAACAUAUCCUUAAUUUAGAAUUAACAAAUAAAAACUGAAAGAAAUAAUUAUAACACCUAUGUUUUAUUAUCAAGUACUGGAUGGUUUCUCUCUUUUCUCCUCAGCCUAUAGCAGUCCAAUACUGGACAUUGAAGAUCAUCCCGCCAAGCCGGAGGGAUGUCUGAUACUUAUACAUAGCGUAGGUUACCUACUUAUCGUAAAAUGAAAAACUAUAUGUACCUUAAUAUUUUUUUAUGAAGGAAGUGGUGCUACAUUCCUGUUUUAUAAAAUUAAUGAUUGAAAAUAAAUCAACAUAAUGUUUCUAGUCUGGUGCCUUUCGGCGAUGAAAUUCUUUUGCAUCCCCCAUACUAUAAUGAUCAGGCCUCGUUUUGACGACUGUGACUUUCCUUUCAAAUGGAUUAAUAUAUUCGUUCAUUACUGCCUCUUCUUCGAUCGCCAUAUCAUCAAUAUCAUCGAAAAUAUCCAUU